GAGUUUGAUCGUGGCUCAGAUUGAACGCUGGCGGCAUGCUUUACACAUGCAAGUCGAACGGCAGCACGGGGGCAACCCUGGUGGCGAGUGGCGAACGGGUGAGUAAUGCAUCGGAACGUGCCCAGUAGUGGGGGAUAACACAUCGAAAGAUGUGCUAAUACCGCAUACGCACUACGGUGGAAAGCGGGGGAUCGUAAGACCUCGCGCUAUUGGAGCGGCCGAUGUCCGAUUAGCUAGUUGGUGGGGUAAUGGCCUACCAAGGCAACGAUCGGUAGCUGGUCUGAGAGGAUGAUCAGCCACACUGGGACUGAGACACGGCCCAGACUCCUACGGGAGGCAGCAGUGGGGAAUUUUGGACAAUGGGCGCAAGCCUGAUCCAGCCAUGCCGCGUGAGUGAAGAAGGCCUCGGUUGUAAG
rnacentral:rRNA from 1 species